UACAGAGGGUGCGAGCGUUGUCCGGAAUCACUGGGCGUAAAGGGCGCGUAGGCGGCUUUUCAAGCGUGCGGUGAAAGCUCGGGGCUUAACUCCGAGUCUGCCGUGCGAACUGGGAGGCUUGAGUCUGGUAGAGGUCGAUGGAAUUCCGGGUGUAGCGGUGGAAUGCGUAGAGAUCCGGAAGAACACCGGUGGCGAAGGCGGUCGAAUGGGCCAGUACUGACGCUGAGGCGCGAAAGCCAGGGGAGCAAACGGG
rnacentral:rRNA from 1 species